GGAAGCACAUUCAAAGAUGUAGAUCCCCUCAGAGAAGUUUUCCAUUUCCCUGAAGUUAAAGAUCUUCAAAUGACUGCAAAUAACAUGAGGAUAUAUAGAAAAAUGCCCUUCCCCAAUUUCCAAAUCGUGAAAAUUUGGCUCAGCAGGUGUACACUUAAAGCGUUCUGGGAAUAUGAAUCCCUUCUGCACCCUGGAAUCACCAGUCCAGCCAUGCAUGGAGCUGGGGAAAGCAGGCCCUGAAUUGUCUAGAGAGACUUGGUGGAGGAGGCCACGGCCCGCCUUGUCCCUGCCGGGUCCCGGCCAGGAACAACUGGAUGUUGUAAAUGUUUCUCAUCUGGCCUUAAAAUCCAUGAAAGCUGGAAAAUCACAAGGCAUCUGUGCAUAUACUGGUGGAUUUUAAUGAGAGUCCUGUGUUUGGAGCACCAGAAAUAAACCAGCUUCAGAAGCAAAGUGAGACUGGGCAUGAUUCAGAAAAGUUGGAAGAUCUAGAGAGGGAUCUUGCAAUCUGAAGUUUCUUGUUUAGUCACUGGAGGAUCUGAACGUCUAUGACACUCUUUCGAGCUGACACAGUGAAGAACAUAGAAGGAGAACUCACCCAGUCUGCCAGGGUCACAGAAUGAUCAUACUCAAGAUCUUCCUGGGGAGUCAAUGGCAAAUUUCACUGGGCUAUUUUACAGAUGAAGAAGGAACAUAAAGAAGGUUCUGGGACCCC
rnacentral:lncRNA from 1 species